AUACGUAGGGGGCGAGCGUUAUCCGGAAUUACUGGGUGUAAAGGGUGCGUAGGCGGUAUGGCAAGUCAGUUGUGAAACCCCCUGGCUCAACCAGGGGCUUGCAAUUGAAACUGUCAUACUAGAGUGCAGGAGAGGAAAGCGGAAUUCCUAGUGUAGCGGUGAAAUGCGUAGAUAUUAGGAAGAACACCAGUGGCGAAGGCGGCUUUCUGGACUGUAACAGACGCUGAGGCACGAAAGCGUGGGGAGCGAACAGGAUUAGAUACCCUGGUAGUCCACGCCGUAAACGACGAGUGCUAGGUGUUGGGGUCUAAUUAGAUCUCGGUGCUGAAGUUAACGCAUUAAGCACUCCACCUGGGGAGUACGAUCGCAAGAUUGAA
rnacentral:rRNA from 1 species